CCGUUAGGAGAUGAAGAACUAGUUUCAUAUAUAUAUUGACCGGUUUAGAUCUUGAGUACAACCCUGUAGUCUCUACUGUUUUGGCUAGGGUUGAACCAAUCUCCUAUAGUGACCUGUUAAAUCAGUUGAUAAGUUUUGAGC